CUUUGUUGUUUUCAUAUAGAAUAGGAAAAAGCUUUGAAGAGUUUUUGUACCUGAUGGGAUGACAAAAAGGUAAGGAAAAUUAGUUCAGACUUCAAAGUGAGUACUGAGGUUGUAAACCCGUGAUUCAAUUAAUUCUUAUGGCUUGCACCACUAGAUACAACUCAUACAAGUAACAUCUGCACCACGAGAUACAACUCAUACAAGUAAAA